GUCACAACGAAUUUCUGCAGCCACACCCUUGUGCAGUGGCUGUAUGGCAGUGCCAAAUCUAACGUACCACUGUAACCCUGCUUGUUCUAGGCCUGCUUGGGAGUUGCCACUGUCUUCAGCGAUGUCACAGUGUUCUGAGAAAUAAAAGAUAAACCCAACAUUGUUCCCUUCUGUUUUGGAAAGUUUUCAUGAAAGACCAGUAGCGGCGUCGCUUUUUAUUGCUUUCUUAGUUCAUGGUGCUAUUUAGAUAUGAUAGCCCAUCAAGCAUUCAUUUUGGACAGAGGCGGUGUGCAAAUGGGUUCUCAAAUUAAAAAAAAAAACUUCUGUUGAACUUGAUGAUGUGUAGGUCUAUGUGAUUGGGUGUGGGAGUGUCUGUAAUUAGGCAAAAAAAACCAUCAACCUUUCAUUUCAAGUUUAUUGUACUGAAUGCUAUUUGCGAGUGAAGGGCUAUAAUUUCCGGCUGAUCCAUGUGUACUGGUACUGUGAUCAUAACAGCUUGAAAAAUUAAAUGUAGGCUACAUGCCUGAUUCAUUUGCUAAUUGAGAGUUUGUGAAAAAUAGAAUCAAUGCAGUUUUAACACUAUUUGGCCACACACGAUUACAGUGUAAAAAUAAUAAUGAAAAACUAUUAAACACAAUACACUGAAAUAUGAAUUACUGAAGGGUAACCAAUGUGCGUAAUGAUCCAUAAUAUGUAAGAGGAAUGAGGGUGAUAGGAGAAAUGGUUAGCCUAUAAUAAAACCUGCUCGCUAUAAUUAAA